GGUGAUUUUGGUGACUACGAUGCCAAAUGUGAUGAUUGUCUGCGGAUUGUAAAUCCGUGUACACGAGUUCGAUUCUCGUACUCGCCUCCA
rnacentral:tRNA from 1 species